rnacentral:tRNA from 1 species
ACCAAUUUAGUAAAAUAUAUUAUAUUGCUUUGAUAUGGCGAAGUUCUUUUGAUUUGGUA